rnacentral:rRNA from 1 species
UACAGAGGUCUCGAGCGUUGUUCGGAUUCAUUGGGCGUAAAGGGCGCGUAGGCGGCGGGGCAAGUCGGGUGUGAAAUCUCAGAGCUCAACUCUGAAACUGCACUCGAUACUGCUUUGCUUGAGGACUGGAGAGGAGAGUGGAAUUCACGGUGUAGCAGUGAAAUGCGUAGAUAUCGUGAGGAAGACCAGUGGCGAAGGCGGAUCUCUGGACAGUUCCUGACGCUGAGGCGCGAAGGCCAGGGGAGCAAACGGG